rnacentral:rRNA from 1 species
UGGGGAAUCUUGCGCAAUGGGGGAAACCCUGACGCAGCGACGCCGCGUGCGGGAUGAAGGCCUUCGGGUUGUAAACCGCUUUCAGCAGGGACGAGGCCUUAUGGUGACGGUACCUGCAGAAGAAGCUCCGGCUAAAUACGUGCCAGCAGCCGCGGUAAUACGUAUGGAGCAAGCGUUAUCCGGAUUCAUUGGGCGUAAAGCGCUCGUAGGCGGUCUGUUAGGUCGGCAAGUUAAAUCCGGGGGCUCAACCCCCGUCCGCUUCCGAUAACGGCAGACUUGAGUUUGGUAGGGGAAGGUGGAAUUCCUAGUGUAGCGGUGGAAUGCGCGGAUAUUAGGAAGAACCCCGGUGGCGAAGGCGGCCUUCUGGGCCAUAACUGACGCUGAGGAGCGAAAGCUAGGGGAGCGAACAGG